rnacentral:rRNA from 1 species
AGUGAACGCUGGCGGUAGGCCUAACACAUGCAAGUCGAACGGCAGCACAGUAAGAGCUUGCUCUUACGGGUGGCGAGUGGCGGACGGGUGAGGAAUACAUCGGAAUCUACUUUUUCGUGGGGGAUAACGUAGGGAAACUUACGCUAAUACCGCAUACGACCUACGGGUGAAAGCAGUGGAUCUUCGGACCUUGCGCGAUUGAAUGAGCCGAUGUCGGAUUAGCUAGUUGGCUGGGUAAAGGCCCACCAAGGCGACGAUCCGUAGCUGGUCUGAGAGGAUGAUCAGCCACACUGGAACUGAGACACGGUCCAGACUCCUACGGGAGGCAGCAGUGGGGAAUAUUGCACAAAGGGCGCAAGCCUGAUCCAGCCAUACCGCGUGAGUGAAGAAGGCCUUCGGGUUGUAAAGCCCUUUUGUUGGGAAAGAAAAGCAGCAGGUUAAUACCCCGCUGUUCUGACGGUACCCAAAGAAUAAGCACCGGCUAACUUCGUG